CUCUCUAUUUGCAGCUGGGAAAAAUCGUUUGGCUAAGGUCCUGAAAUCCCUUAUAUGCAAAAAAACAACGAAGGCAGAAUGCAUAGUUCCUGACGUUUUCCUUGCUAAGAAGUGACCUCUGCAAUUUGACAAAUAUUUUCUGAAAUUCAUUUUCAUUCUUUCCCUUGUUUUCUAUAUACAUUCUUAAAUUCUUCAAGCAUUAUAAAAUAAUAAAAUAAUUUUAGCAUCAA